rnacentral:lncRNA from 1 species
UGGGCUCUUAAGUGAUGUGAGAAAUAGCGCUUGUCUUUGGCGAUACCCAGUGAGCCCGCGCGCUGCAGCGGGCGGCGCCUUUUUAGCAAUCGUGGAAGGGGAGGAACAGCAGGGAUCUUCUCAACCCCACGUUUACACUGGCUGUUGCUUGAAAAGCAAAGUGACCCCCAGUGCUAAAACUGAUGUUACUUAAACAUGGUUCACCGUGAAGCUGGACUCACCCACCCAUGCAGCGGCGGCGGCUGCUGGACCGGUCGACUGACACUGAUGUGAAAAUCCGCAGCAUCAAAGCAGGCUCCGUAGACGCAGCCAGGGCAAAGGGACGGCGCUCGUUCCUGUUCUGUAAAUCUCCGCAGGGACACGUAAAUGCUGCACUGCCUUCACCCUGGAGUCUGGUGACCGUCGAGAGGAUACAGCUGACACCUUUGAUUUUCCCUUCCCUUCAAGAAAGGUUGAUAAAGCAACGAAACGAAAGAAGCAAAAGGACGUUUAAUAGCGCCACACAAGUUUUCACAUGGCUGUUCUUCUCCAAAAGGAUAGUCUACAAGUCCUGGAUAAAAAAGAGUGAGAAAGGAGGAGGAGGUCUCAUGUAGAAAAUCAUGGAGUAAUUCAUGAUUUUCGACUUCUAAAUAAAGUCUAAAGUCUGGCUUAGAGUCUGGAAAGUAAUUGCAAAAAUGCUGGAGGAAAAUGAGAAGUUCAGAAGUCGACUGUUGACUUGCAGUCAGUGUAAUGGAGAAGGCAGUGAUACGAACCAAAGUUCACAGAACGAGGCAACCUACCUGGACAGGGAGGAGUCCAUCUUUGGCUGGGUGUAGCAAGAAAAUAAAGGAAGAUUGAAUCUGACA